CCGGUGGAAUCCGAAAAACCAUAGAAAAGAGUAGGAA
ncrna:unclassified sequences DTF805b RNA